rnacentral:rRNA from 1 species
GACGAACCGUGCGAACGUUGUUCGGAAUCACUGGGCUUAAAGGGCGCGUAGGCGGGCUGCCAAGUCCGGGGUGAAAUCCUCCGGCUCAACCGGAGAACGGCCUGGGAUACUGGCGGCCUCGAGGGGGGUAGGGGCGUGCGGAACUGUGGGUGGAGCGGUGAAAUGCGUUGAGAUCCACAGGAACUCCGGUGGCGAAGGCGGCACGCUGGACCCCAUCUGACGCUGAGGCGCGAAAGCCAGGGGAGCAAACGGG